AAGUCUUUGCAGAUUACGAGGCUUAUGUCAAGUGCCAGGAGAAAGUCAGCGAGCUGUACAAGGACUCCCGCCAAUGGACUCGCAUGGUGAUCCGGAACAUCGCGGCAGCCGGGAAGUUCUCGAGCGAUCGAACCAUCCGCGAAUACGCCACACAAAUAUGGGGCGCGGAACCCACCCGGCACCGCAUCCCCGCCCCCGAUGAGCCGCGGCAGUGACCCAUAGAGACCCAUAGAGACCCAUAGAGACCCAUAGCGACCCA